rnacentral:antisense_RNA from 2 species
AGUUUUGGCGGUUCGAGCGGGAGGACGCGAGUCCUGCCGGUUUUUUCGUAAGAACUUCCCCGGUCUUCCAACCCGUUCGAGCCGCCACCCCC